GGAAACGUUGUCUGCAAGCUCAAUUUUUGCAGAAAAACAGCUAUAGAUUACUUUUGUAGUUUCUUUUCAGCUAUAUGAUCUCAAGCAACAAGGCUUCAUCGAGAGGCAAGAGGUGAAACAAAUGGUGGUUGCUACCCUUGCUGAGACUGGUAUGAACUUUUCAGAUGAGAUUAUUGAGAGCAUAAUCGACAAGACUUUUGAAGAAGCUGAUACUAAACAUGACGGGAAGAUUGAUAAGGAAGAGUGGAGAAAUUUGGUCCGGCACCAUCCUUCACUUCUGAAGAAUGUGACCCUUCAGUAUCUUAUGUAAGUGGCACUUGGAAUAAUGACAUCACUUCAUUUAGCAUCAUGUUUGGCAUAUUGUGAUUCUAUCCGUGGCAUACUUUUAGUAUGGAUUGACCUAAAUGUCGUUGUCACAUAAACAAGGACAUAACGACUACAUUCCCAAGUUUUGUCUUUCACUCGAGAGUUCCGGAUACCUGAUAUGGAUUGCCAAAGCUGAAUUGCCUACAGAAGUAGUCUUAUAAUUGAGAGUUGCAGUUCGACUAAGAAACUAAGUAUUAUUUUAGCUCAACUUUUUUUAAGUUCAACAUUUUCAUGAUUUGUUAUUCUUUUCGGGGGCAGUGGGGUUGUGUAUUGUUGUUACCACUGCACAAAUGCUAAGUUCCCUUGUUGAUGUUGUGCAUCAUUGUAAUUUAAUUUGCUUAUUGUAGCUCAUUAUUUGGAAGUCUUUUGGCAUGAGAUGAGUUUAAAUGGAGAAAUAUGGUUAGUGA